rnacentral:rRNA from 1 species
UACGAAGGGGGCUAGCGUUGUUCGGAAUCACUGGGCGUAAAGCGCACGUAGGCGGAUCUUUAAGUCAGGGGUGAAAUCCCGAGGCUCAACCUCGGAACUGCCUUUGAUACUGGGGAUCUCGAGUCCGGGAGAGGUGAGUGGAACUGCGAGUGUAGAGGUGAAAUUCGUAGAUAUUCGCAAGAACACCAGUGGCGAAGGCGGCUCACUGGACCGGAACUGACGCUGAGGUGCGAAAGCGUGGGGAGCAAACAGG